GUGCGAAUUUUGAGGAGGUGGUAGACAUUUCUCAUGAGAUUGACAUUUCUCAUGAGAUUGAGUCACCGCCAGGAGCGAAAGGAGAGGGGGGAAAAGAGGCCUCGAGAAUCUGAUUGCUAUAGUGGUGCUUCUUCGAGAGGUUAGUUUCUGCGUGGCAGAGGCCGUCCAUUCAGACAUGCUCAGCCAGCUCGUCCAGGUUAUUGUGGGGCGUCAUCAGGUCAUGGUUCUCACUGUUCUCAUCAGGGCCAGUCAUCACUUAGUGCCCUUUCAUCUCAGAGUUCAUCCUGUUCUCCAUCUGUUUAGGGUUCUUCCAUGCUAGGCCAUCUGCUAGUUAUUCUGGUUCUAGGUUUUUCCUCCAGUCCCCGUCCCCAACACUCGAGAGUUGCUAUGAGUGUGGAGAAAUGGGUCAUAUUUUGAGGUAGUUUCCUCUUCAUCUUGCGGG
rnacentral:lncRNA from 1 species